ACUUUGAACUUACCCAUUUGACAAAUGAGGAAACACAGGGUCGGGCCUGGUUAGUACUUGGAUGGGAGACAGAUGAGAAAACAUAGGUUUAGAAAGUU
rnacentral:rRNA from 1 species